CGCACUUCCUGUUCCAUGGCAAAGCCCUCAAUGUCUAAAUGAGGGUGGUAAAGGAUGGUGCCUGCUGGGGUCUUGCAGAUACCUCAGGACUUCAUUUCAAUGAAGCGGUUCUCCACGAUGUCAAUAUGGCCCACGCUGUGCUUGCCUGCGACUUCAUUCAGCCACACGAGGAUGCAGGAGGUGUCCAGGCCGGCACUGUAGGCCAGAACCAUGGAGCCUUUGCUGAACAUAGCAUCUGGGAUUGGAGGUGCAAUUCCUGGUGCCUGGAAUCUGUCUUCAUGGCUCAGUGAACCACUCGGGGCCUGGGGAGCAAAGGCAGGCAACAGAGCAGGGCCCACGUCUUUCUUAUUGAUCACUAAACGAAGGCAGACAUCAACAUUUCUGGAUUCAGGGUCCAGAGUGCUCACCAUUACACCAUGGAACCUCAAACCAGACAUCAACGUCUCUAAUGAGUCUUUCUUUAUUCCAAUAAAAGAAAAUGGUCAGUGAGAGGUUGGUUUAGAUGAUUUGGGAAAAGGUAAUAGAAGUCCUGUUCACAAGGUUGAUACUGUGUACCCCCAGCAAGUUAUGUCACCUCUUCUGGUCCUUGGUUUUAUCAUUUCUUUUUUUCUUUUUUUAAAGAGUAGUCAAGUCCCAACAAUCAAUUGAGAUAACUCACUACCACUGGACCAGCUGGUUUAUAAUUUGUUGUUAAGUCAGGGAGCUGGACUAAGAUAUUUUUGCAGAUCUGUGAGUUUAUAAUUCGAUGACAUAUAACAUUAAAACUGAAGAAACUGA
rnacentral:lncRNA from 1 species